AGUAACUGCUUCCGAUUUGAUUCGACUUUCCGUUUCAAUUAACACCGUAUUCAAUCGAUCCACUUCACUCUGGAGUUCACGGCUUUUCAUUUCAUUUUGGCGUUCAAAUAAUUAAGAUCAUUUUAAUUGUAAAUUUUGGAUGGAACCCAAAUUUUGGAUUUAGGAACAAGGUCAUCUUAAUCCUUUGCCAUCUUUACAUUUCAAUUAUCUCGGUUAAUCUGGGCAUUGUAUUCCUCAUCAAUCGGUAUGUUAAAACGAGCACAAAAGUAUGAAAUGAUACUAAUUGAAAAUUUUUCAUUUAUUACAGACGGAAUUUACAAAUCUUGAUCAAGUCUUCCUGAUUUAAUGCUUACUACGGUCUGAGUUAAUUGAAGAGAUUGUACCAAGGGAAUUUGAAUCAUCACUAUCAGUUAUUAGAUUGUGCUAGAAAUUAAGCGUUACUGAGUCCAA